UUUUGCAUAUCAAAAAGCGGAGGAAAAGAAACCAACAGGGAUUGCCUUAGUAACGGCGAGUGAAGCGGCAAAAGCUCAAAUUUGAAAUCUGGCACCUUCGGUGUCCGAGUUGUAAUUUGAAGAAGGUAACUUUGGAGUUGGCUCUUGUCUAUGUUCCUUGGAACAGGACGUCACAGAGGGUGAGAAUCCCGUGCGAUGAGAUGCCCAAUUCUAUGUAAAGUGCUUUCGAAGAGUCGAGUUGUUUGGGAAUGCAGCUCUAAGUGGGUGGUAAAUUCCAUCUAAAGCUAAAUAUUGGCGAGAGACCGAUAGCGAACAAGUACAGUGAUGGAAAGAUGAAAAGAACUUUGAAAAGAGAGUGAAAAAGUACGUGAAAUUGUUGAAAGGGAAGGGCUUGAGAUCAGACUUGGUAUUUUGCGAUCCUUUCCUUCUUGGUUGGGUUCCUCGCAGCUUACUGGGCCAGCAUCGGUUUGGAUGGUAGGAUAAUGACUAAGGAAUGUGGCUCUACUUCGGUGGAGUGUUAUAGCCUUGGUUGAUACUGCCUGUCUAGACCGAGGACUGCGUCUUGACUAGAUGCUGCAAAUACCCC
rnacentral:rRNA from 1 species